AAAACAAACAUAAAGAUCCAACACUUUAUAAUAGAGUGCAAAUUGGAGUCGAUGAUUACGCGGCUAUUUUAUGGCACAGAUUUUUCACUAAUGCUAAAUCGUCAAGUGAUGUAGGAAAAAAAAAUUUUAUAAAUACUUGUUAUGAUUCGGUGUAAGAAUAUAGAAGCGUCGGCGUGCAGCGUAUGUUGAGAGCAGAGGAAGAGGGUUGAAAUUAAAAUGAAGUAAUUGUCUGUCCAACGACCGACUCACGGACGGACAGACGGACAGACAGAUAGACAGACAUGGCAGAAG